rnacentral:rRNA from 1 species
GACGAACGCUGGCGGCGUGCUUAACACAUGCAAGUCGAACGGAAAGGCCCUGCUUUUGUGGGGUGCUCGAGUGGCGAACGGGUGAGUAACACGUGAGUAACCUGCCCUUGACUUUGGGAUAACUUCAGGAAACUGGGGCUAAUAUCGGAUAGGAGCUCCUGCUGCAUGGUGGGGGGUGGAAAGUUUCGGCGGUCGGGGAUGGACUCGCGGCUUAUCAGCUUGUUGGUUGGGUAGUGGCUGACCCAGGCUUUGACGGGUAGCCGGCCUGAGAGGGUGACCGGCCACAUUGGGACUGAGAUACGGACCAGACUCCAACGGGAGGCAGCGGUGGGGAAUAUUGCACAAUGGGCGGAAGCCUGAUGCAGCAACGCCGCGUGCGGGAUGACGGCCUUCGGGUUGUAAACCGCUUUCGCCUGUGACGAAGCGUGAGUGACGGUAAUGGGUAAAGAAGCACCGGCUAACUACGUG